AUUUUGAAUCCAGAUAACAUUACCCCGGAGGCACUGGUUGCGCAAUUUAACGAGGCUGCAGCUGAAGCUUUCAAAAAGAUGGUCGACGUUGCCAAGGAGGCGCGUAGGGGCGUUAUCGAGAUAACGUCGGAGGAGUACAUCAA
rnacentral:ribozyme from 1 species